AUGGUCGCAGUUGUCGUGGAUGAGCGGCGGCUUGUCGUCAAGUUCGCGGAGUGUGGGAGGUUUCAAGUACGAUUAGGGUUUCGAUCUGGAAACUCUAGUCGUAUCCACCUUCAGGUUUUCAAUGGAAUCCGCCUUUGCUCUGUUCUUCUGCCAAGAGAAUCGUCGUCCCCCUUCAAGCAAACAAUUUGCAUUUCUGAAGAAAAAAAAACAAUUGGGCCAGCAGCUGAUUCUACCCUACUUAGCCCAACCGUCAACAUCCUUAUUACAGCCAAUAUGUUCUAA